rnacentral:misc_RNA from 1 species
AGCAAUUUUACGGUCCUUGAGGAGGUACCAUGAGGUACCACUUUUUCUAUUUUUGGUACCUCAUGGUAUCUCCUCAAGGACCAUAAAAUUGCUCUAUUGA